UGUAUUGUGAAGCUUCCAGCAGGUGCUCCACCCCUCCCCUCUCUGAUAAACGCUGUCGCCCGCCAUUCCCCCAUCCAUCCAUUUCAUCUAAACGCUGCCGACAGGGUGUUGUUCUUGGCCAGGAGCCCUAUGCUCCCUGCACUUUCCUGCCAUGGCACGCUAGAGAUCCAUCCCCCUCCCAUCCACGUGAACCAAUGCGAGGAGACCAUCCCCUCUUUCUCAAACGCCCCCCCUCCCGCUGUUGGGGCACCCCCCGACCUAGGGCUCACGGGCGAGCGCCCCUAGCGACCCGAGACACCUCCCUCUCUCCAUGUGGCCUGACUGUGAUUUGGGCGUGGCUUGCAGCCCUCCUUGCCGGUGACCCGAGGCUUGCGUGCAAGCGCCGAACGGAUGAAUCAAGUAAAUCUUUAUGAGACUAUUGAAAGGUAUCGUAAAUCACUUAAGAAAAGACAAUCUGGAUGACAAGGAUGAGUACAACGAAAAUAGGAGAUCUGAUGGAAAAUGGGGUGAUUCAAGAAGUCGACUAAAUGGAAGUUACUCCGAUCAUCAAAGUAAUAAUGGUACCUACUUGCUUACUAGAGAAAAGCUUCGAGUGUUUCCUCAGAGUGUUUUGGAAUCCUUGAUUGGAUAUGUCGCUAUAUGAUGAAGAACAUCUCAUCUGUUGCAAUGUUCCACUUCCACGGUCUUCUCCCUGUUAGCUCUCACGUCCCUUUCUCAUUCCCCUUCAUGAAGAGCUACCAUCCCUCUGCAUCGCCUCUUUGUUGAGUCUGGUUGGUCGAAAGGAUUAUGAAAGUUGAAUGUGCUCAGGAGUCAGGAUAUCUAAUUGUUUCUUCAGGUAAGUAUUCUUGGAGACCAUAUUGUCUAUUAGUUUAUUCCCUAGUGUGUGGGUUCGAAUAUGGUGGAAGCUGGACCUGUAUUGGUAGCCCUCAUGGUUCUCUUGCAGUAGAUAAUGCAGAUUUCAUAUUUUUCCAUAA